ACUCAAAUGAAUUGACGGGGACCCGCACAAGCGGUGGAUGAUGUGGAUUAAUUCGAUGCAACGCGAAAAACCUUACCUACCCUUGACAUGGUCGGAACCUUGGAGAGAUCCGAGGGUGCUCGAAAGAGAACCGAUACACAGGUGCUGCAUGGCUGUCGUCAGCUCGUGUCGUGAGAUGUUGGGUUAAGUCCCGCAACGAGCGCAACCCUUGUCAUUAGUUGCUACGAAAGGGCACUCUAAUGAGACUGCCGGUGACAAACCGGAGGAAGGUGGGGAUGACGUCAAGUCCUCAUGGCCCUUAUGGGUAGGGCUUCACACGUCAUACAAUGGUGCAUACAGAGGGUUGCCAACCCGCGAGGGGGAGCCAAUCCCAGAAAGUGCAUCGUAGUCCGGAUUGCAGUCUGCAACUCGACUGCAUGAAGUUGGAAUCGCUAGUAAUCGCGGAUCAGCAUGUCGCGGUGAAUACGUUCCCGGGUCUUGUACACACCGCCCGU
rnacentral:rRNA from 1 species